UCCUGCGUUGGUUAGUCGCAGAAAGAUCAGUGCACGAAUCACAAUAGAGAAGAAACACCAUAGCAUGCAAUCAUAAGAUACAAACAGGUUAUGUAACUUUGUGCUUCAGAUUUUUUUGCCCGGUUAAAAGUUGAAAAAGUUGAAUAUGGUCACGUCAGGUUGUUUUUGAGUUGCAUAUUUUCAAGGUUCAUUGCUUAGAUGGUGCUCGGGCAUGCAACUAGUCAGCUAAGAAUUAAAAGGAAGCGAUAUAAACGAGUCGAGAACACCUUAGGCUUGUAAAGGAAGCAGAAUUUUAAUUGCAGAGUUAUGAAACAUGCAAGGGCAUAAUGGAUGGAACAAAAAUAAUAUAUGAACUGAGAUAUAUGGCAGUUACUGACUGUUUAAAUGAAAUCAAAAUAGCUCAAUUUUAUUCCGAUUGUUUGAAUGCUAAAAAGGAAGAAUGCAGAAACAUUAUUUAGUUUCUCUUCUACUUUAUGACCCCCCAACACACUCUUUCACCAUGAUGUUCUUCGAUUAUAUUAUUUGCUAUCUACAUAUGCGCUAUAAUGUUCCUAUAGGCGCCAUAACCAUUGGCAUACCCUACUUUAUGUCUGACGCAUUAUUUGGAUCCCAUUUCUUAUAAAUCCAAGUGCACCUUUUGGUUUAGUAGUUACAAAAGGUUCAAACUUCAAGGUGCAUUCUCAGAAGAAGCCUAUAAAGUACAGGGGGCGUGAGACGGUGCAAUUUUAACGGACUGCACAUCUACGAGUUAAAAUUUGGUAAUAGAAUUAAAAUGACCAGAUUAAAACCUGAGGGGGAAACCGGCGGAUGCUCUCAACCAAGUAUUGAUAGGAUUCCCGAUCACCUGCAACUAAUUCUCCCAUAGCAGGAAUAACUGAGAAAGAAUAAUAAUCAUACCUGCAUGAGAGAGAAAAAGAAUGUCUCUAAAUUUAGGGAUGCAAGAAAAAUAUACAAGAGAAAGACAAUAAUAAAAGUGAGUUCGACCAAGAAAAUCCAGGGACUUUUUCAAUUUCUGUUAUCCACCAAAACCAGUAGAGCAAAGCUUCUUCACCAACAUAGAUGAUCAACUGUCAACUAGUGUUUGCAAUAUUUCUCAUAUAAGAUAAAAAGAAAAAUUCCUUGUAUCUGCAAUCUAUUUGUUUGGAAAGUGUGAUCUCUGAACGGAAAGUUGGUCAACAGGGCUGGAACUAUGUAAGAACAAAUGAGCUACAAUUACAUUUAAACUAACAGGCAAGCCUGUCAGUCAUUCCAAGUCCAGUUGAAUAGAGGUCAGAGCAAUUUAAAGGUUUCCAAAGUCAUUGGUUCGAGCAAAUAUCUCUGCCAUAACUUUUGCUGAGCUGGCAAGUUAUCAAAUUGUGAAAAAAAAAAGACCAAAACCUGACACCGAGAAGUAAGGAUAUUGGUUACAAUAAUACUAACGAAUUUAACCAAAAAAUGAGAGAAAAUCAAUAAGCAGUAAGUUGCAUGAGUCCACAUAAUGAAAUCAAUUUUCCCUGGCAAAACAUAUCGAAUACUCACAAUUCCUUGAAGACAGGUAAUUCCACAUGGCUGAGCUCAAGGCAAAGGAACCUUCCUCCAUGCUUUAACACCCUAAGGAAAAGGAAGAUUUUUUAGGAAAAGAAGAAGAAAAAGCACAGCUGUUUGCUACCAACUGAAGUUGCUGCCCAAAUAUAAAUACCAUUAGUGAGACACAAUUCCUCAGGCAUUCUACUUAACAAAUGUCAUUGCUAUUGGUAACUUCUUUAUAAGAAAAACUGAAUGUACUGGAUUUGACAGUGAACUGAAUCCCUAU
rnacentral:lncRNA from 1 species